rnacentral:rRNA from 1 species
AUUGAACGCUGGCGGCAGGCCUAACACAUGCAAGUCGAACGGUAGCACAGAGAGCUUGCUCUUGGGUGACGAGUGGCGGACGGGUGAGUAAUGUCUGGGAAACUGCCCGAUGGAGGGGGAUAACUACUGGAAACGGUAGCUAAUACCGCAUAACGUCGCAAGACCAAAGUGGGGGACCUUCGGGCCUCACACCAUCGGAUGUGCCCAGAUGGGAUUAGCUAGUUGGUGAGGUAAUGGCUCACCAAGGCGACGAUCCCUAGCUGGUCUGAGAGGAUGACCAGCCACACUGGAACUGAGACACGGUCCAGACUCCUACGGGAGGCAGCAGCGGGGAAUAUUGCACAAUGGGCGCAAGCCUGAUGCAGCCAUGCCGCGUGUAUGAAGAAGGCCUUCGGGUUGUAAAGUACUUUCAGCGAGGAGGAAGGCGUUAAGGUUAAUAACCUUAGU